rnacentral:rRNA from 1 species
UACGGGAGGCAGCAGUGGGGAAUAUUGCACAAUGGGCGCAAGCCUGAUGCAGCCAUGCCGCGUGUAUGAAGAAGGCCUUCGGGUUGUAAAGUACUUUCAGUCGUGAGGAAGGUGUUAAGGUUAAUAACCUUAGCAAUUGACGUUAGCGACAGAAGAAGCACCGGCUAACUCCGUGCCAGCAGCCGCGGUAAUACGGAGGGUGCGAGCGUUAAUCGGAAUUACUGGGCGUAAAGGGCACGCAGGCGGUUAAUUAAGUUGGAUGUGAAAUCCCCGGGCUUAACCUGGGAAUGGCAUUCAAGACUGGUUAGCUAGAGUCUUGUAGGAGGGGGUAGAAUUCCAUGUGUAGCGGUGAAAUGCGUAGAGAUGUGGAGGAAUACCGGUGGCGAAGGCGGCCCCUGGACAAAGACUGACGCUCAUGUGCGAAAGCGUGGGGAGCAAAACAGGGAUUAGAUACC